rnacentral:rRNA from 1 species
AGGUAGUAAUCACAAAACAAACCCAUAAAACUUGGCGGCUCUCCUACACUAGAGGAACUCGCCUACUAAUCGACAAUACUCGCUAAAUUUCACUUAAGCUCCGCUUAUAUACCGCCGUUUCAGAUGACGACCAAACCCGAACAUCCACAAAAUAACCCUUACAAAAUCAGGUCAAGGUGUAGCCCAUACUUAAGUCUAGGUAAGUUACAUUAAGAAAUCACUUAAGGACUAUUCCCAAAGCCUCAACGAAAAAGAAUCAAGAAGUAAGGAAGAAGAUAAUAUCUCCCCCAGAACACGAAAACAGAGUGC